CCCAGUGGCGGCGACGGCGGCUGCCCAUUCUUUCCCCUCUUCUCCUGCUACUACCAGGCAACAUCGCGUCUGCUCUUUUGAUUACUCAAGUAGUCGAGCGGGGAGAGAGGACGGGAGGAGUAUCUUGUUUCAAUUUCUAACCUUUUAGAUACAGCUCCCUCUAGUUCGCUUCUUCAUUUUUUUCUGUUGGUCUCUUCGAUGAAUCAGCAGUGUACGUAGCUUAUCUUCUUACUGUACAUUUUAACUGUUUGCCAAUACAGACUAGAAUGUUUAGCUUGAGAAACUCCUGGUCGCUUGCAUUUACUUUAGAACGGGAAGGGGCUGCUAUCCGACGUCCUUUAAAGUUCAAUUCUGUUGUGGUUUGUGGUGUCAGGGGUCCAAGACCGAGAUAUCCCCGUGAGGUUCUUCUACAUUUCUCUGUUGCGAUUAUUAGUUGUGUCUAUACACUCCUGUGCACUGUUCUGUUGAGAUGCUAGAUUAAUUGAUUACAUGGGAACACAAUGUUCUCUAAUUUAGUCUUCUCCAGCAAAACUUUGGUUUUCAGUACUUGUGGCAAUUUCAAUUGUUAAAUCUGCCUGGUUUCGUCAAAAUGCUUUUAGUAAAUUGCAGUUGCAUUAACUGUAUGUCAAGUAAGAUGCAAAAGAAAAAAAAACUGUUGUAGGAUGCCUUUUACAAUUACACAUUUUUAUCUACCCGACGCUCAUUUGCCUGGAGUGUCUAAAACUAUCAGUCUUGUAUCAUCUUGUGUAGAUUAAAGAUUUGUUUAAUGUAAAGGAGAAAGUUUGUGGAGCUCUUGAUUCAUUAGUUGCAUGGGAACUGGAGUUUCCCUUAAUGGUAGUGAAGAAGGCACUAAAGACACUUGAAGAUAAAAAGGAAUGGAAAAGAAUAAUUCAGCAGGAGCAGUGUUUGGAGGACUUAGUUCAGACUUUCUCGAUCGCCAUCCGGUGCCAGUGAAAAGUCUCAGAAGACUCUCAAAACUGACUUGAUUUGAUUAGACACAGAUGGACAGAUUAUUAGUAGUUUCUUUCGGAUAUUUAGUUUUGUUCUGUGUGUAAUAUGUUAGCAUUUGAACCAUGUACAAGGA